rfam:Gossypium hirsutum cultivar TM-1 chromosome 20, whole genome shotgun sequence
AUUCUGUGAUGACGGCACUGUCAUAAUAAUAAUUCUUUCUACCUUUCCCAUGCCUCAUACAAGGACUCAUCAUCCAUUUAUUGGAAAGUAGUGAUCUCAUUCCUCAACUU